rnacentral:ncRNA from 1 species
GAUAGUUGCUCUUGAUAUACACAUGCAAGUCUCCGCCCCCCUGUGAAAACGCCCUUUAAUCCCUUAAGGGAUAAGGAGCCGGUAUCAGGCACAAAAUUAGCCCAAGACACCUAGCUACGCCACACCCACACGGGACUUCAGCAGUGAUUAACAUUGAUUAUAAGCGCCAGCUUGAAUCAGUCAAAGUGAAAAGGGCCGGCUAAUCUGGUGCCAGCCGCCGCGGUUACACCACGUGGCCCAAACUGACCUCCUUCGGCGUAAAGCGUGAUUAAAGCACUUUUCUAACUGCAAUUAAACUAAAACUAAGCCGUAACACGCUUGUUUUUAGGAAGCCUAAUAAACGAAAGUCAUUGCACCCCUAAUAACUUGAAUUCACAACAGCUAAGAAACAAACUGGGAUUAGAUACCCCACUAUGCCUAGCCGUAAACUUUAACUUACACCUCCUUCGCCAGGGAACUACGAGCAAAGCUUAAAACCCAAGGGACUUGACGGUACCCCAAAUCCACCUAGAGGAGCCUGUCCUAUAAUCGAUAACCCCCGUUUUACCUCACCCCUUCUAGUUUCUCAGCCUGUAUACCUCCGUCGUCAGCUUACCCCAUGAGCGCUAACUAGUGAGCUUAACGCCCCCACGCCAACACGUCAGGUCAAGGUGCAGCAUAUGAAGCGGAAAGAGAUGGGCUACACUGUCUACUUUAGACUAUACGAAAGACUAUUAUGAAACCUAGUCGGAAGGCGGAUUUAGAAGUAAAAGAAGAUCACCAUGCCUCUUUUAAACUCGGCACUGGGGUGUGUACACACCGCCCGUCACCCUCUUCAAAGCUCUAACACAAGUCUUUGACACAACUCAGCCCCACAGAAGAGGCAAGUCGUAACAUGGUAAGUAUACCGGAAGGUGUACUUGGAAA